rnacentral:lncRNA from 1 species
UGCCAACUUUUUUGGUAUCUGAUGGAUAAUUUAUAUGUUUUUGAUUUGUGUUUUUUGCAGAGGCAGUUAAGUCUAGUAGAAUAUUGGACUGGGAAUACUAGACUGCCCCACUGCCAUUCACUCCAUUUAUCUGUAUCUCUUUCUGAGCUGAUACUGAGAAAUGAUUUGGAAGGAGCCCGGGACUGA